AAUCAUAUGUAGUAAGACCUGAUUUACAAGGAAGAGGAACCAUCCAGUUUUCAUGAAUUCCAGAAAGCCCUAACCCUUCUUUAUAUUCAGGAUCAGAUAAUAAUUACCCAAACAUUUAUCACUGGCUUUGAAACGUAUAUGUCCAGCUUAUUAUUGGCCUUCAUGGCACAAAUCAGAACUGAAUCUGAACUGACUGACUCUGGAACUUUUAUAUAACUCUUCUGCUUUACAGAGCAGAGAUGCUCUUGAGAAAGUCCUUAUCAAAACAGACCAUAUAUGGGUAUUUAUUAGAACCCAUGAUAAGUCUUUUGUUAAGGUGAUGAAAAUAUUUU
rnacentral:lncRNA from 1 species